GCCGGGUUAGCUCAGUUGGUUAGAGCAUGGUGCUAAUAACACCAAGUUCACAGGUUCAAUCCCUGCUUACUGCA
rfam:Pelecanus crispus contig48272, whole genome shotgun sequence.